CCUACGGGUGGCAGCAGUGGGGAAUAUUGCGCAAUGGGGGGAACCCUGACGCAGCCAUGCCGCGUGAAUGAAGAAGGCCUUCGGGUUGUAAAGUUCUUUCGGUAUUGAGGAAGGUUGAUGUGUUAAUAGCACAUCAAAUUGACGUUAAAUACAGAAGAAGCACCGGCUAACUCCGUGCCAGCAGCCGCGGUAAUACGUAGGUCCCGAGCGUUAUCCGGAUUUAUUGGGCGUAAAGCGAGCGCAGGCGGUUCCUUAAGUCUGAUGUGAAAGCCCCGGGCUUAACCUGGGAAUUGCAUUUCAGACUGGGUAACUAGAGUACUUUAGGGAGGGGUAGAAUUCCACGUGUAGCGGUGAAAUGCGUAGAGAUGUGGAGGAAUACCGAAGGCGAAGGCAGCCCCUUGG
rnacentral:rRNA from 1 species